CGGAUUCAUUGGGCGUAAAGGGUGCGUAGGCGGCGCGGUAAGUCGGGUGUGAAAUCUCGGAGCUUAACUCCGAAACUGCAUUCGAUACUGCCGUGCUUGAGGACUGGAGAGGAGACUGGAAUUUACGGUGUAGCGGUGAAAUGCGUAGAUAUCGUAAGGAAGACCAGUGGCGAAGGCGGGUCUCUGGACAGUUCCUGACGCUGAGGCACGAAGGCCAGGGGAGCAAACGGG
rnacentral:rRNA from 1 species